rnacentral:rRNA from 1 species
CAGUAGCCACGGGAAUACAGAGGGUGCGAGCGUUAAUCGGAUUUACUGGGCGUAAAGCGUGCGUAGGCGGCUUCUUAAGUCGGAUGUGAAAUCCCUGAGCUUAACUUAGGAAUUGCAUUCGAUACUGGGAAGCUAGAGUAUGGGAGAGGAUGGUAGAAUUCCAGGUGUAGCGGUGAAAUGCGUAGAGAUCUGGAGGAAUACCGAUGGCGAAGGCAGCCAUCUGGCCUAAUACUGACGCUGAGGUACGAAAGCAUGGGGAGCAAACAGGAUUAGAUACCCGCGUAGUUCCUGUCUCUUAUAC